AGAAAACUGGCUUCCUCAUUCUAGCUAGCACUCUCUGCACGAUUUCUGCUGCGGGUGGCGUUCCCGCUGGAUACAGUGACCCCGUAAGCGUGCUGCUCUUUCUGUCGACAGAAAUUUAUAGAUGUUCGGAGCUUGCCAAACUGUUGGAGAAGUAUUAAAAGGGAUACAUAGCCGAAUAACCAAAUUUAUACUUUAGCCUCUCAUGAUGUGUGUAUAUAUUUAUAAAUAAACAGAUCACAAUUAUGGAGCGCAUAUAUAUUAUAUAUGAACAGAUCACAACUAGGGAGGGCAGCGUUGGGAUGUAUUCUUUGUCCUUGACCUUGUAGGAAUAAAAUAUUCUGCCUUUCCUUAGUUUUUCAA